CCUACGGGAGGCAGCAGUCGGGAAUUUUGGGCAAUGGGCGAAAGCCUGACCCAGCAACGCCGCGUGAAGGAUGAAAUCCUUCGGGAUGUAAACUUCGCAAGAACGGGAAGAAUAAGUAAGAGCUAACAUCUCUUACGAUGACGGUACUGUUUGUAAGCUCCGGCUAACUCCGUGCCAGCAGCCGCGGUAAUACGGGGGGAGCAAGCGUUGUUCGGAUUUACUGGGCGUAAAGGGCGCGUAGGCGGCCACCGCAAGUCAGUUGUGAAAUCUCUGGGCUUAACCCAGAAAGGUCAACUGAUACUGCGGGGCUAGAGUGCAGAAGGGGCAACUGGAAUUCUCGGUGUAGCGGUGAAAUGCGUAGAUAUCGAGAGGAACACCUGCGGCGAAGGCGGGUUGCUGGGCUGACACUGACGCUGAGGCGCGAAAGCUAGGGGAGCGA
rnacentral:rRNA from 1 species